rnacentral:rRNA from 1 species
CUCGUAGGCGGCCAACUAAGUCGGACGUGAAAUCCCUCGGCUCAACUGGGGAACUGCGUCCGAUACUGGAUGGCUUGAGUUCGGGAGAGGGAUGUGGAAUUCCAGGUGUAGCGGUGAAAUGCGUAGAUAUCUGGAGGAACACCGGUGGCGAAGGCGGCAUCCUGGACCGACACUGACGCUGAUGAGCGAAAGCCAGGGGAGCAAACG